UGGUUCCUAUCCUAGAAAACUCAGGAAGCAA
rnacentral:piRNA from 1 species